CCUACGGGAGGCUGCAGUGGGGAAUAUUGGACAAUGGGGGGAACCCUGAUCCAGCCAUGCCGCGUGUGUGAAGAAGGCCCUCGGGUUGUAAAGCACUUUCAGUGAUGAAGAACGCCUGGUGGUUAAUACCCAUCAGGAAAGACAUCACUCACAGAAGAAGCACCGGCUAACUCCGUGCCAGCAGCCGCGGUAAUACGGAGGGUGCGAGCGUUAAUCGGAAUUACUGGGCGUAAAGCGCGCGUAGGUGGCUUGAUAAGCCGGUUGUGAAAGCCCCGGGCUCAACCUGGGAACGGCAUCCGGAACUGUCAAGCUAGAGUGCAGGAGAGGAAGGUAGAAUUCCCGGUGUAGCGGUGAAAUGCGUAGAGAUCGGGAGGAAUACCAGUGGCGAAGGCGGCCUUCUGGACUGAAACUGACACUGAGGUGCGAAAGCGUGGGUAGCAAACAGGAUUAGAUACCCCUGUAGUC
rnacentral:rRNA from 1 species